rnacentral:tRNA from 1 species
GGCAGGGUGGCUCAGUGGUUAGAGCCUAGGGCUUGGGAGCGAAAGAUCCCGGGUUCGAAUCUCGCGUGCAGCAG